rnacentral:lncRNA from 1 species
GCUUCAGCAGGUCCCUCCAUUCAGGGUCCCUGACUUCCCACAACAGUCUAGCCCCACUUUCAUAGGGCAGCCAUGCUGUGCUGGGGUACCAUUUCUGCCUCUCAUCAGAUUGGGCUCUUCAAAGCCUGGAGGCUGAAACAGCUAAAUUGCUGAAACAGCUAAAUUGCUGAAACAGCAAAGAAGGUGGUCAACCUCUCUGGGAACUCUGUCCCAGAAAGUUUUCAAGUUCUCUGUUGGCCAGAGAACAUCAGUGGGAGUGGCUGGAGGCCCUGGUUGGGAAGACCCACCCAGAGAUGAGGAGCUUAUUAUGGUCUCAUCUAAAGAAGCAGUCUGAUCACAUCAUAGUAGAGCCACUGUGCUGUGCUGAGGGAUCUCUUCUGCCCCUGGAUGGUUUGGACUCUCCUAAGCCCACAGGCUGGAAUGGCUGAGUUAUCCAAACAGCAAAUAUGGUGGCCUACUCCUCCCACUGGGCACUGCAUCCAGGGAGAAAUCAAAAUUCUGUCUGCUGGAGAAUAUGGAAGGGGCUAGCUGGAGUCCCCAGUAGGAGGCCCCACCCUGAGAUGUAAAAUGUGUCAGGGUCCCACUUAAAGAAGCAGUCUGUCCACAUUUUGGUAGAACCACUGUGCUGUGCUUGGGGUUCCUUUUAUCUGCCAUCAGCUUUGUUUGGACUCUCCUAAACCUACAGACUGGAAUGGCUAAGUCAUCCAAACAACAGAUAUCGACCCUGCCUCUGCCUUCAGGAGCUCUGUCCCAUCCCAGCGGUGUUUAUGGAGGUCCAACUUCCUGCCUUGUCUGAGUUGCAGUCACCUUUGCUGGAGAUCCUGGAGCCAGAGUGUGUAAAGCUCCUGAGAUUCUCUUUGUGUCUGAGCAGUUGCUCUGCCAAGACCACACAGCUCUGUGUGUCAGAACAAAGGCCCUGGUGGAAUGGGUUCAUGAGAAGAUCUCCUGAGCUGAGGGUUGCAAAGAUCCAUGGAAGAAGUGUGGUUUCCCAGGGUCACAUAUUCAGUCACCACUUUCCUGAGCAAGGUAGGUUCCCUUGGCUCUGUGUCACUCCAGGGUGGGUGGUUGCCAUGCCCUGCUUUUCUCCAUUUUCGGUGGGUUGAGCUGUUUCCUUCAUUAGUCCCAGUGCAAAUACCUACGUGUUUCAGUUGAAGGUGUUGUAUUUACUAUCCCCCUUUGUUCCUUUCCAUGACAGCCACAUAUGGUAGCUGCUUCCAAUCAGCCAUCCUGGCACCCUUCUCUGCUACAAUAUUUCCAUAGAUGGUUUUUACCCUGUAGGUUGUCUCAUGACCCAAGAUGUCUACAGGAACACCAGCCUGUACCAGCAACCAUGUGCCUUUCAAAGAGCAGGAAGGAGGAAAGAUGCAAGGCCGAAGUGGCUCACACAGCUGAGUCAGCUCCAUCUGAGGAGUCUCCCUGAAGUCCCAUCAAUACUUCUGGUUACACCCAAUUGUCUUGAACAUCUUCUAGUCAUUGUUAGCUUCAAUAGGGGUCAGAAACUAUAAUUUUUGUGCUUGGUAAGUUGCUGUUUGAAUAAAACUGAAUCUCUGUUUUUAAGAAUGAAAGCAAAG